GGGCUUGUGGUUUAGUGGUAUAAUUUUCCCUUAGCAUUGGCAUCGUCUGCACGAUCGCGGAAGCGUGGGAAAGGUCCUGGGUUCGAUUCCCAGCAAGUCCA